AUUGAACGCUGGCGGCGUGCUUAACACAUGCAAGUCGAACGCGAAAGGGACUUCGGUCCUGAGUAAAGUGGCGCACGGGUGAGUAACGCGUGGAUAAUCUGCCCUUAUGAUCGGGAUAACAGUUGGAAACGGCUGCUAAUACCGGAUACGCUCAAAAUGAACUUUUUGAGGAAAGAUGGCCUCUGCUUGCAUGCUAACGCGUAAGGAUGAGUCCGCGUCCCAUUAGCUUGUUGGCGGGGUAACGGCCCACCAAGGCAUCGAUGGGUAGCCGAUUUGAGAGGAUGAUCGGCCACACUGGAACUGAAACACGGUCCAGACUCCUACGGGAGGCAGCAGUGGGGAAUAUUGCGCAAUGGGCGAAAGCCUGACGCAGCGACGCCGCGUGAGGGAUGAAGGUUUUCGGAUCGUAAACCUCUGUCAGAAGGGAAGAAACUACGUUGUGCUAAUCAGCAGCGUACUGACGGUACCUUCAAAGGAAGCACCGGCUAACUCCGUGCCAGCCGCCGCAGUAA
rnacentral:rRNA from 1 species